AGAGUUUGAUCAUGGCUCAGGACGAACGCUGGCGGCGUGCUUAACACAUGCAAGUCGAACGAUGAAGCCUAGCUUGCUAGGUGGAUUAGUGGCGAACGGGUGAGUAAUACGUGAGUGACCUACCUUUGACUCUGGGAUAAGCCUGGGAAACUGGGUCUAAUACCGGAUACGACCAAUCUCCGCAUGGGGUGUUGGUGGAAAGCGUUAUGGAGUGGUUUUAGAUGGGCUCACGGCCUAUCAGCUUGUUGGUGAGGUAAUGGCUUACCAAGGCGACGACGGGUAGCCGGCCUGAGAGGGUGACCGGCCACACUGGGACUGAGACACGGCCCAGACUCCUACGGGAGGCAGCAGUGGGGAAUAUUGCACAAUGGGCGCAAGCCUGAUGCAGCGACGCCGCGUGAGGGAUGACGGCCUUCGGGUUGUAAACCUCUGUUAGCAUCGAAGAAGCGAAAGUGACGGUAGGUGCAGAGAAAGCGCCGGCUAACUACGUGCCAGCAGCCGCGGUAAUAC
rnacentral:rRNA from 1 species